AACGAACGCUGGCGGCAGGCCUAACACAUGCAAGUCGAGCGCCCAGCAAUGGGAGCGGCGGACGGGUGAGUAACGCGUGGGAAUUUUUCCUGGAGUACGGAACAACCGAGGGAAACUUCGGCUAAUACCGUAUGAUGCCGAGAGGCCAAAGAUUUAUCGCUCUGGGGUGAGCCCGCGUCAGAUUAGGUAGUUGGUGGGGUAAAGGCCUACCAAGCCUGCGAUCUGUAGCUGGUCUGAGAGGACGAUCAGCCACACUGGGACUGAGACACGGCCCAGACUCCUACGGGAGGCAGCAGUGGGGAAUCUUGCGCAAUGGGCGAAAGCCUGACGCAGCCAUGCCGCGUGAGUGAAGAAGGUCUUAGGAUUGUAAAGCUCUUUCGCUCGUGACGAUGAUG
rnacentral:rRNA from 1 species